AUUGAACGCUGGCGGCAGGCCUAACACAUGCAAGUCGAACGAGUGGCGGACGGGUGAGGAAUGUCUGGGAAACUGCCUGAUGGAGGGGGAUAACUACUGGAAAAGGUAGCUAAUACCGCAUACCAUCGGAUGUGCCCAGAUGGGAUUAGCUAGUAGGUGGGGUAAAUGCUCACCGAGGCGCCGAUCCCUAGCUGGUCUGAGAGGAGGACCAGCCACACUGGAACUGAGACACGGUCCAGACUCCUACGUGAGGCAGCAGUGGGGAAUAUUGCACAAUGGGCUCAAGCCUGAUGCAGCCAUGCCGCGUGUAUGAAGAAGUCCUUCGGGUUGUAAAGUACUUUCAGCGGGGAGGCGUUACCCGCAGAAGAAGCACCGGCUAACUCCGUGCCAGCCGCCGCGGUAAUUC
rnacentral:rRNA from 1 species